GGUGUGUGUGUGUGUGUGUGUGUGUGUGUGUGUGUGUGUGUGUGUGUGUGUGUGUGUGUGUGUGUGUAUUUCUGUGUGUGGGUGUGUAUGGGUUCGUGGGCAUGUGUGGUGUACAGUAUGUCUAUAUAGAUCCAUCUCCUUGCUUCUGGGCCCAGAAAGACCCAGACUGGUUCAGAGUGGUUGAGACUCAGGCAGAGAGUGACAGAGAAAUGGCUUCUGUGUACAAUGGAGAGCCUUCAAGGCCUAACAGAGGAUAGAGAGGACAGUCUGUGUGUGUGUGUGUGUGUGUGUGUGCGAAUGUGUGUGUGUGCGCGUGUGUGCGCGAAUGUGUGUGUGUGUGUGUGUAUAGAGAGGAUAGAGAGUACACUAGACAAAGUAGCUAGUCAGACAGGCAGUUUAACUGACAAAGACACAGCCACCAUAAUCGUCCCCAGUCCAGUCCACAGCCCAAAACAGAGGCCACAGUGUGUAUGUCUGCGUGUGUGUGUGUCCAUGCGCGAGCCUGUGUGUGUGGAUGUGGUCCAAACCAGAAAGCAUGUCAAACUUGACUACCAACAGACCAACUGAAUAACAUCAUAAAAAGCUGACCUGUCAGUCAGAAUAGCACAACAGGGCAUCUGUUGUUAAGGUUACUGAGAAUGAAAACAAACAACAUUCAAAUAAUUGCCAACUGAGUUGUUUGGACCCAAAAUGGCGGAAAUGAACUGUCCAUUUUGAAGGUGUAGGUAGGAAACUGUAAGUGGAAGGACACCUUUAAAAAACAUUAAACCACAAGCUGCCAAGUGUGAGGUAAAAGAAGAAAAAAAACAUUAAAAAAGGACCAAAAGAAAGGAAGUAGAAUAGCAGAGCAGAGACAAAGGAACACAACACCGCCCUCUCAGCCUUCUCUCAGCUCAAUGAACAACAAGAUGACUGAGUUUCACUUGAAAGUAAGUGCAUAAAAAAAUAGAAUACAAAAAUCACGUCUUGAGUUGCACACAGUGUGUCAAUAGAACAAUGUCCAUGUUUGUUAUGACCAAGUUUCUUCUCUUUCUCCCUGUUUCUCUCUCUCACUUAAAUCCCUGUUUCUCUCUCUCACUUAAAUCCCUGUUUCUCUCUCUCACUUAAAUCCCUGUUUCUCUCUCUCACUUAUAUCCCUGUUUCUCUCUCUCACUUAAAUCCCUGUUUCUCUCUCUCACUUAUAUCCCUGUUUCUCUCUCUCACUUAUAUCCCUGUUUCUCUCUCUCACUUAAAUCCCUGUUUCUCUCUCUCACUUAAAUCCCUGUUUCUUUCUCUCACUUAUAUCCCUGUUUCUCUCUCUCACUUAUAUCCCUGUUUCUCUCUCUC
ensembl:lncRNA